rnacentral:rRNA from 1 species
AUAUUGCACAAUGGGCGAAAGCCUGAUGCAGCAACGCCGCGUGAGCGAUGAAGGCUUUNGGGUCGNANAGCUCUGUCCUAAGGGANGAUAAUGACGGUACCUUAGGAGGAAGCCCCGGCCAACUACGUGCCAGCAUCCGCGGUAAUACGUAGGGGGCAAGCGUUGUCCGGAAUUAUUGGGCGUAAAGGGUGCGUAGGCGGCCUUUUAAGUCAGAUGUGAAAGACCACGGCUUAACCGUGGGGUUGCAUUUGAAACUGGAGGGCUUGAGUAUCGGAGAGGGUAGUGGAAUUCCCAGAGUAGCGGUGGAAUGCGUAGAUAUUGGGAGGAACACCAGUGGCGAAGGCGACUACCUGGACGAAAACUGACGCUGAGGCACGAAAGCUAGGGGAGCAAACA